rnacentral:rRNA from 1 species
AAUAGAUACCCCGGUAGUCCACGCCGUAAACGAUGGAUGCUAGCUGUUAUGCGUAUCGACCCGUGUAGUAGCGAAGCUAACGCGUUAAGCAUCCCGCCUGGGGAGUACGAACGCAAGCUUAAAACUCAAAGGAAUUGACGGGGACCCGCACAAGCGGUGGAGCGUGUUCUUUAAUUCGAGGCUAAGCGAAGAACCUUACCAGGGCUUGACAUCCUUGGAAUUUCUCCGAAAGGAGAGAGUACUUUAUUGGACCAAGUGACAGGUGCUGCAUGGCCGUCGUCAGCUCGUGUCGUGAGAUGUUUGGUUAAGUCCCGCAACGAGCGCAACCCUUGAUCUUAGUUGCCAGCAUUUAGUUGGGCACUCUAAGGUGACUGCCGGUGACAAACCGGAGGAAGGUGGGGAUGACGUCAAAUCAUCAUGCCCCUUAUGACCUGGGCUACACACGUGCUACAAUGGAUGGUACAAAGGGCUGCAAGACCGCGAGGUCAAGCCAAUCCCAUAAAACCAUUCUCAGUUCGGAUUGUAGGCUGCAACUCG